CCGACGGAGAGUUUGAUCCUGGCUCAGGACGAACGCUGGCGGCGUGCUUCAAACAUGCAAGUCGAGGGAGGGUUGCUCGGGAGCUUGCUCUCGGGUCAACUCUACCGGCGCACGGGUGCGUAACACGUGGGUAACCUGCCUCGAAGACGGGGACAACCUCGGGAAACCGGGGCUAAUACCCGAUGUCCUCGGCGGAUCGCAUGGUCUGCCGCGGAAAAGGUCCG
rnacentral:ncRNA from 1 species